ensembl:lncRNA
CCUGGGCAGAUGGCUUUAGUUCUUUUGUUCUCUAGGUUCACCGAGCUCUUGGAGAAGUUGCUGAACAUCCUAAAGACCUUUGGGCAAACGAAGAAUAUGGCACAAGAUCCCUUUGGGCAGAAGGUGGAAGGUUGAAACUGUCCUCCUUAGAGGAGAAACUUCUCAAGACACCAUCAGAAGGAUCAAAUCUUAACCCUGUGUUUCUAGAAACUGGAUGCCUGUGGUCCACUUUGGUAGAGGGAGAAUGUCGACUAUUUCUCCCCAGAGUUGACAUGUGAAAUAAAUCUACUUGGGUAGAUGGGG